UUCCUGGAAAAGCCACUCCAUUUUGAGUUUCAGGCCUAGAGCGUCUGUUACUUAUUGCCACCUUAUAGACCUGGAUCCUGUUCUCCUGACCCUGACCCACUGCCUCACUGGAGAAAACCUGUGGGGCCAGGGGAUGGGGCCAUUUUCCAUCCUGUGGGGCUGGGCACUCGUGGCUACCGUGAGUACAGAUGCCAUUGUGAGCUUGGUGGAGCAAAGGCCCAGGUGGGUCCUGGUAGCUCGCGGACAGGCUAAAACCCUGCACUGCAUCCUGAGGAAUUCCCAGUACCCCUGGAUGAGCUGGUAUCAACAGGACCUCCAGGGGCAACUACACCUGCUGGCCACUCUGCGGAGUCCUGGGGAUGAGGAGGUCGUAUCCCAUCCUGGAGCACAUUACCAAGCCACGAGGGUCGACAGCACGGAGCUGAGGCUGCGCGUGACCAAUGUGACCCAGGGCAGAACUCUCUACUGCACCUGCAGUACCAGACACAGUGAGAAACCCCCCUUGGAGAAGUGA